GGUUUAAUCGUAUAACGGUCAGUACUCCAGAUUUUGAAUUGCAAUUUCGUGUUCCUUCAAGCAAGGCAUUCGAGAUCUCUUCCUUCUGGCGAUCUGGGUUCGAUUCCCAGUUAGACCU